UACGGAGGGUGCAAGCGUUAAUCGGAAUUACUGGGCGUAAAGCGCGCGUAGGCGGCUUUUUAAGUCGGAUGUGAAAGCCCCGGGCUCAACCUGGGAACUGCAUCCGAUACUGGAAGGCUAGAGUGCGAGAGAGGGAGGUAGAAUUCCAUGUGUAGCGGUGAAAUGCGUAGAUAUAUGGAGGAAUACCAGUGGCGAAGGCGGCCUCCUGGCUCGACACUGACGCUGAGGUGCGAAAGCGU
rnacentral:rRNA from 1 species